GGAUGCGAUCAUAGCAGCACUAAAGCACCGGAUCCCAUCAGAACUCCGAAGUUAAGCGUGCUUGCGUGAGAGUAGUACUAGGAUGGGUGACCUCGUGUUGCAUUCC
rnacentral:rRNA from 1 species